AUGGAUAACUUCAGAAUGUACAUUGCGACAGCGGUCUUGCUUGGCUUCUCGCUGCAGGUUGUCAGCUGCAGCUGUCAUGACAGCGAGUAUCCCGCUGCGACGGGCGUGUGCUGUCGAUACCCUAAACAAGGAUGGUUUAUUUCUAAAAACUGCACAUCGGAGAAUGGUAUAGAGGCAUCACCCUGCAAGAACUGCACAGGUCUUAAGAUAGCAAACUGCACAUACUUCUCCGACACUCAAUGUGAAGACGACAGAAUCCUAAAAGACUUUAUGAUCUCCAUGUUUCAAAAACAAUGCAAGAUGCCUGAUGUGAUGCCCUAACAAAUCAUGGGAACACAUGUGGUCCCCGAAACUCAUCAUAAGUCAAAAAUAUAGUAAGUUGAAAAUGCAUUUAAUACAUCUAAUACACACCUCUGCAUGACAGACUGGUAGAUGCAGAUUGCUGCUGCUGCUGCCCAGCAUUGUGAGAGAGUAUCGCACUACAUAUCGCUUGCAGUGGGGGGAAAAAAAAUCAAAAGUCAAAAUUUGCAGUAGUUUCUGCUGAAUGUCUGUCGCCAGCUCACCAUCGUAAAGUCGAAAAAAUCGUAACUCAAACCAUCUUAAAUCGUGGACCACCUGUACUGGAUCCAAAUUCAAGUAUUAUCUUGAGAGUGGUUCCCCCAGCUGCCAGUACAGUUAAUUUUUACUGAGACACAAGGAUCAUUUGUCAUCGUAUAUGAAAAACAUAAAUGGUCAGACUAAAUGUAUAGAUGUGUUUGCAUCUUUUUAUACUUUUAUUAUGUAAUAAUUGUUUGUGAAGUUAGUCACAAUUAGUUGUUUUUGACAAAAAAACUUUACACUUACAGCAACUUGCUGUACAGCUAUGGGUGUUGCAAGCCCCUCACCCAGCAGAAUAUUUGUAAAGCCUUUAAUUUUUGAAAGGCACUAAAGAAGCUAAGUAGUUUAACUAAACUAAAGUUAAAUGUAGUUAAUAAAAGCUAAAAAAGUUUAAAGGUUUAAAGAAGG
rnacentral:lncRNA from 1 species